GGUUAUGCAACUUCAAAUCUUUAGCCACAUUUGAAGCUGGCAUUUUUCAGUUAGGCUAAAAGAUUUAAGUGUGCAUAUAAGACCUUUUUAUAUUACUGUCUCUUAUCACAAGCUUUAAACAAAACUAAUCUGGGGAACUUGCUAUGAUAAACAAUCAGCUUCAUGAGAAAUUAUUUUCAAAGCAAAAGCAUCUAUAUUCAAGAAAUGGUAAGAAGUACACCAAAACAAAAGACAAAAUUGCAAAAACAAAAAAACACUACCAAAGCAAGAAAUGGAAAAAAAGGACAGUAUCUUCUUAGAAUCUUACCUUGAACAACAGGUAUAAGAAUAAAGCCUUUCUUCUAAAAGAAUACUUCCUUUAUAAAUUCAGCAUAUAUGUCUCAGUAAUUACUAUAUCUAAGUACGUUCUCAUAUUUGGGGACAUA
rnacentral:lncRNA from 1 species